AUACGUAGGGAGCGAGCGUUGUCCGGAAUUACUGGGCGUAAAGGGCGCGUAGGCGGCGCUUCAAGUCGUCUGUCAAACAAUAAGGCUCAACCUUAUUUUGCAGACGAAACUGUGGCGCUGGAGAAGCAGAGAGGCAAACAGAAUUCCUGGUGUAGCGGUGAAAUGCAUAGAUAUUACACAGAACGCCGAUUGUGAAGACACCUCACGAAGCGGUAACUGACGCUGAGGCACGAAAGCGUGGGGAUCGAACAGGAUUAGAUACCCUGGUAGUCCACGCAGUAAACGAUGAUGACUAACCGUCGGCGAUAGACCGCCGGUGGCCAAGCGAAAGCGAUAAGUCAUCCACCUGGGGAGUACGACCGCAAGGUUGAAACUCAAAGGAAUUGGCGGG
rnacentral:rRNA from 1 species